ACCGCCCCCCGAGCUGUCAAUUGGAACCAUCACAAUAUGGAGGUGUGUUGCUGUGCGAGAGACGGACAUCUUCUCAUCAUCAAGCUAUCAACAGGAACCAUGACAACAUGCAGGUGUGUCACUUCGUGAGGGACGUAUGUCUACAUAUCAACAAGCUGUCAACGGGAACCAUGACAACAUGGAAGUGUGUCACUUUGUGAGGGACGUAUGUCUACAUAUCAACAAGCUGUCAACGGGAACCAUGACAACAUGGAGGUGUGUCACUUUGUGAGGGACGUACAUCUACAUAUCAACAAGCUGUCAACGGGAACCCUGACAAGAUUGUGCUGUGUUACUUUGUGACGAGGGACCUACAUCUACUCACCAACAACUUGGUCAAAGCAACGACAAGAUUGUCAAGAGAUUAUUCUGAUGCAGUGUUCCUCCAACAACAUGGACAUUGAAAGCAUCAAUCAGGUGUGGCUUGGCUAGAGGAAAUAAUAUCUGAGGACUGUAUUACUUACCAAGCUCAAGUAUGCAACUUAAGAUAUGGUUUUGUCUGAUCACACUUGGGUUUACAUUUCUGCAACGUAUACCAAUUCCAUGUUGCAGCAUCACAGCACAGACCUAUAACCUGAACGGACUCUCAGAUGAAGAAGAUGGAGAGCAGAGCAGCCAAGGACCGAAUGAAACGACAGAUUAAUAAAUGCAUCAGCAUCAACCCUAAGAAACCAAAUUGGACAACACCAAAGUAUUUUAAUAUACAAAGCAAUGUAUAUAAUAAUUGAUUCUUGUCAUACCAAACAAUAAGGUAAAGGGUCUUUGAUGGUAAGGGUAGCAGUGUUGUUAGAAUGUUUUGGUGGUAACUUGGCUAUGCAUUUUAUAUGUACACAGAUUCUAAGCUGUUUUUUGUUUGUGGUGCUUUUAUCUUUCAAUAUAAACAUAUCAUUUAUAUGCAAUAAUAAUUUGGGAGGCUAGUCAUCCUUACUCGCAGCUAAGAGCUGAAUUGCGAAGGACGCGGCUACAACGAGUUCGAGAAGUAGGCAUGCCAGGGCGCCUUUGGCUGCUAGCCACAUCAACCCAUUAUGACCACAGAGCACAGCCAAGAUCGAAAGUGUUUUUUCCCGAGGGAGGGACCGGAUGGUCUGAAAAGCCCUCGGGGCACAGCACAGAACUAACGCACAACUCAACUCACAUAUGGCCCUGGCCGGGAAUCGAACCAGGGUCACCUUGGUGAGAGGUGAGUGCUUUACGCACAAGCCAACCAUGCCACCGAACUAGUGACUUGGAGGACCCUCUACAAAAUUCCUGCUCUAUUUUAAAUGAGUGUAUUGAGGUCGUCUGUGAAGGCUCACAGCAAGCCCGCCAAAUAUUUAUAAUUUAAAAGAAAAACAAAAUUUCAAAAACAAAUGACUUCUUUGUUUUGUUUUCUGCUAUCAAUGCAUUGCUUAAGAACAAACUGCCUUAAUGACACUGGACACUUGGUUUUGUCUAAGACCAGUCUUCCCACCUGGUGUGCCUCAUCAUAUGCAAAGAGGAACGGGUGUAAUUUCACAAUUAAAAAUUGUAGGCAGUUGCUUUGUUUGUUUUGAAAGUUGUA